UACGUAGGGUGCGAGCGUUGUCCGGAAUUACUGGGCGUAAAGAGCUCGUAGGUGGUUUGUCGCGUUGUUCGUGAAAACUCACAGCUCAACUGUGGGCGUGCGGGCGAUACGGGCAGACUGGAGUACUGCAGGGGAGACUGGAAUUCCUGGUGUAGCGGUGAAAUGCGCAGAUAUCAGGAGGAACACCGGUGGCGAAGGCAGUCCCCUGGGCCUGCACUGACGCUCAUGCACGAAAGCGUGGGGAGCAAACAGG
rnacentral:rRNA from 1 species